rnacentral:rRNA from 1 species
CGGAGGGAUCAUUAAAGAGUUCUAUAACUCCCAAACCCAUGUGAACAUACCUAACGUUGCCUCGGCAGGUCGCACCUACCUUGUAGCACCCUACCCUGUAGGGCCUACCCGGGAGGUGCGGGUAAGCCUGCCGGCGGCCCACCAAACUCUGUUUGAUAUUGAAUUCUGAACCUAUAACUAAAUAAGUUAAAACUUUCAACAACGGAUCUCUUGGUUCUGGCAUCGAUGAAGAACGCAGCGAAAUGCGAUAAGUAAUGUGAAUUGCAGAAUUCAGUGAAUCAUCGAAUCUUUGAACGCAUAUUGCGCCCAUUAGUAUUCUAGUGGGCAGGACCGUUCGAGCGUCAUUUCAACCCUUAAGCCUUCGUUGCUUAGUGUUGGGAGCCUACGGCAACGUAGCUCCUCAAAGUUAGUGGCGGAGUUGGUUCACACUCUAGACGUAGUAAUUUUUUAUCUCGCCUAUUAGUUGGACUAAUCCCCUGCCGUAAAACCCCCAAUUUAUCAAGGUUGACCUCGAAUCGGUUCAGACAAACUCGCUAAAUUGAAGCAUCUUAGUCAGCGAAGGAAAAGAAACCAACAGGGAUUGCCCUAGUAACGGCGAGUGAAGCGGCAACAGCUCAAAUUUGAAAUCUGGCCCUCGGGUCCGAGUUGUAA